rnacentral:lncRNA from 1 species
CCUUCCAUAAGAAAACAGAGGAGAAACAGAACAUCUACUUAACUGGAACAAUUUCACCUGACUGAUUCAGAGCAAUUCAUUUCAAUUACUCUGAUCAACAGAUAAAUAGCACAUCUGGUAGUGUCUGCAAACUAAUCAUUUAACAGGGCAAUGCAAGUUUGGAAUUAAAGAGAUGUUAAUUGACUACUGCUGGUUUGAUUUCUUUUGACUAUGAAAAUGAAUACAGAAAACCUCAAAUGGACAAGCAAAGGCAGUUCACGGAUCAACAUUAGGGAGAAGAAUAGAAGAACUAGAAGACAAAAAGUCGACAGCAACAAUAAAGAUCCCAAUAGUGGAAGAACGAAAUAGAGCAUGCGUAUGAGGAAAAGCACAUUGUGCACUGCAAGGAGGAGAAGCAGUAAUGGGUGUGAAACUACACGAUCUAAUCUGCUGACUGCACAUUUUCAAACGCCACAGUCUCAUUUAUGUUGAAUUAAAAGCAAAAUAGAAACUCUUCCUGUUCCUGCAAAUCCCAUCCUAUCAGCUUCUAUCUAGAUUUGCUUGAGGGGUUGUCAAAAUAAAUAAUAACAAUAAUAAAU